UACCAGCACCCCGAGUGGUCGGGACGUUUAUUGGGCCUAAAGCGUCCGUAGCCGGUUCUACGAGUCUUCCGUUAAAUCCAACUGCUUAACAGGUGGGCUGCGGAAGAUACUAUAGAGCUAGGAGGCGGGAGAGGCAAGCGGUACUCGAUGGGUAGGGGUAAAAUCCGUUGAUCCAUUGAAGACCACCAGUGGCGAAGGCGGCUUGCCAGAACGCGCUCGACGGUGAGGGAUGAAAGCUGGGGGAGCAAACGGG
rnacentral:rRNA from 1 species